GAUGAACGCUGGCGGCGUGCCUAAUACAUGCAAGUCGAGCGAACAGACGAGGAGCUUGCUCCUCUGACGUUAGCGGCGGACGGGUGAGUAACACGUGGAUAACCUACCUAUAAGACUGGGAUAACUUCGGGAAACCGGAGCUAAUACCGGAUAAUAUAUUGAACCGCAUGGUUCAAUAGUGAAAGACGGUUUUGCUGUCACUUAUAGAUGGAUCCGCGCCACAUUAGCUAGUUGGUAAGGUAACGGCUUACCAAGGCGAUGAUGCGUAACCGACCUGAGAGGGUGAUCGGCCACACUGGAACUGAGACACGGUCCAGACUCCUACGGGAGGCAGCAGUAGGGAAUCUUCCGCAAUGGGCGAAAGCCUGACGGAGCAACGCCGCGUGAGUGAUGAAGGUCUUCGGAUCGUAAAACUCUGUUAUUAGGGAAGAACAAAUGUGUAAGUAACUAUGCACGUCUUGACGGUACCUAAUCAGAAAGCCACGGCUAACUACGUG
rnacentral:rRNA from 1 species